UAGAUUCUUCGGAUGAAGAGGAUUGUGACUGAGCGGCGGACGGGUGAGUAACGCGUGGGUAACCUGCCUCAUACAGGGGGAUAACAGUUAGAAAUGACUGCUAAUACCGCAUAAGACCACAGCACCGCAUGGUGCGGGGGUAAAAACUCCGGUGGUAUGAGAUGGACCCGCGUCUGAUUAGCUAGUUGGUAAGGUAACGGCUUACCAAGGCGACGAUCAGUAGCCGACCUGAGAGGGUGACCGGCCACAUUGGGACUGAGACACGGCCCAAACUCCUACGGGAGGCAGCAGUGGGGAAUAUUGCACAAUGGGGGAAACCCUGAUGCAGCGACGCCGCGUGAGCGAAGAAGUAUUUCGGUAUGUAAAGCUCUAUCAGCAGGGAAGAAAAUGACGGUACCUGAGUAAGCAGCCCCGGCUAACUACGUGCCAGCAGCCGCGGUAAUACGUAUGGGGCAAGCGUUAUCCGGAUUUACUGGGUGUAAAGGGAGCGUAGACGGUUGUGCAAGUCUGAAGUGAAAUGCCAGUGCUCAACACUGGAACUGCUUUGGAAACUGUGUAACUGGAGUGCAGGAGAGGUAAGUGGAAUUCCUAGUGUAGCGGUGAAAUGCGUAGAUAUUAGGAGGAACACCAGUGGCGAAGGCGGCUUACUGGACUGUAACUGACGUUGAGGCUCGAAAGCGUGGGGAGCAAACAGGAUUAGAUACCCUGGUAGUCCACGCGGUAAACGAUGAUUACUAGGUGUCGGG
rnacentral:rRNA from 1 species